GUAUUUAAGUCUAGCAAAGCUCAGUCUGAAUCACAUUUUUUUCUCUCAUCUUUCAGGAUAGCACUCACCUCCACGCAAAAGACAGGCACAGAGCUGAUUCACAAAGGCUGUCCCACUUAGAUGCCAGAUUUCAGUAAGACUGAAGUGAGGAAAAGGCCUUCUGAGGACCAUUUGUAAGACUUCUAGCAAAAGAGAUCAAGAGUGAAUAUGAAUCUGCCCCAGAACAAACUGAGCUUCCUGCCUUAGUUCCUGGGGUGAAGGCAAUUGUGCCACGUGUACAGUGGAUCCAGUACUGACUGCACAUUUUCAACUUUCAUGACAUGCACUGUGUUGUAGAAAGAAGAGUAACCUUUUGGGCGAUAGACAAUAAGGAUUCACCAUGUGGAGGGAAAGACUACAAGGGAGAAUAAAGCAGAAAAGAACUGAGAAUGUCUGGGGGGACAAAGCAAGAAGACACCAUGAAUACCAGAGCGCACCUCCUCACAGAAUAUAUAAAAAAGUUCGUAACUGCACCAAUAAAUGUUAAAAAGUAUCAUUGUUAAUUAAAUUAUUUACUAUGUUAAUAACUAUCUUAAUCAUUGUGAUAGUAAGCUUAUUACUAUUCUGUUAAUAACUAUGCUAGUAAGUUCAUCAACAAGUCAAUUGCUCUAGUGUCUAGAGCUCUGACAUACCUUUACUGUCCAGGCGAUUGCUACUAAACUACUGACGUGUCUCUGCUUGCCAUCAGGGCCAGCAGGUACCAGUUCGUCACAAAGAAUGAUCUUCUGUUUUGAAUCCAGAAAACCUGACUCUGUUGGUAAACAUGCAGAAAAACUUCUUUACAGUAUGGGUGACAGAGCACUGGAACAGGUUGCCCAGAGAGGCUGAAGAGUCUCCUUCUAUGGAGAUACGCAAGACCUGUCUGGAUGCCUACCUGCACAACCUAUUGCAGGGUGCCUUCUAUAGCAGCAGGGUUGGACUUGAUUUCUUGAGCUCUCUAUCAACCCCUGCAAUUCCGUGAUUCUGUGAUUCUGUGAUUUGUACUGCACGUUGAGAUUUCAGGGUGGGAAAUUCUUCAUUUCAAGUUCUCUAGGCAUUUAGGAUUCAAUUAAAAAUAUGACACUAAGAGACUUUUAGGUUUGCAAAGUGGUUGCUGAAGUAGCUGACUGUGAAGAAUUGUACUUCUUGCUCCUUGUCUGAGACACUUGAAGAGAUCUUAAUUUUUUUUAAGAUGAUGUUGAGCAUCCUCCUGAAAGAAAGCAGUUCUGUAUUCAGCAUACCUUGAACUUCCUACAACUCAGUCCAUUAGAUGACAACAACGGUAGAAGGACAAGAUGAACACAUUUACAAGUAUUUCACGGUCUGCUAUGCAGUUUUGAGAAGGAUCAUCUGGAAUGGCUGUUAACAGUUUGCUAAAAGGAUGUCUUUAAAAAUUCCAUAACGUUUUUGGUAGAGCACCAGCAACAUAAUUUCAAAUAUACUGCAAAUUCUCUGGCGUUCACUGAAGAUCUGCACUAAUAUUGGUUGAUGGAGACUAGAGCAGCAGAGAGGUGCCUCCUGUGACAUUCUUGUAACCAUUACAAUUGGAUAUUUUCUUCUUUCCUGUACCACAGUAACCAUCAUGGCAGAGGUAAAAGGGAAAAGCGAGAAGAGGAAUUGUGAACUUUGACUUCAUCUUGUGGUGGAGCUGGUACAGUACUGAGGGUGCCUUCAUUUAUUUCUAGCCAGAGGUACCAAAAUCUUUGCUUUUCUGAGAUGGAGAGGCUGGAUGUGGGGGCAAAGGGAGAAGAAAGAGGAUGAGACAAGGGUUCAUGCAGAGACACUUCAGAAUGUCUUAAAAGAUGCAGAAAAAUGAAGAGUUCAUUUUUUUCACAGAUCACUUUAACAUUAUUUUUAACCUCGCUUCUUUUAUAAUGACCCCUCUGGAAGGGUGAAACAUGCAUUCUUACCAGCUCUUUUUAUUCAACUUAAAACAUGCGUGCUGAGUUGUUGUUGGCUUUUACACUUGGGAAGUAAAAAGGAACAGGAUGUUAGGGGAAAAUAUAUUUCUGAAACGUUAUUUGUUAAAAUGUCUACAAAGAAUUUUGUGGCCUUCACAAAUAGAUGAAAGUGAAACAGCUCACAGUUUGACCUUCCAGCCUUUCCUGGGGUCUCAGUAGGUGACACUGCAAAGCAUGGAGCUGCCUGUUUCUGGUUGAAACUGCAUUACAGUAGAUUUGUACCAUAAUUUGCCUUCUUCCCAUCCCCUUUAGUCCCCCAUAGUCUCUGUAAAAUUAUCAGGGAUCAAGUGUGCCAGGACAGUCCUUGCAAACCCAUCACCUCUGAAUCUUGCUCCAGCAAAAAAUAAAUUAACUAACUUAAAAAAAAAAAAAAAAAAA